rnacentral:rRNA from 1 species
CCUACGGGUGGCAGCAGUCGAGAAUCAUUCACAAUGGGGGAAACCCUGAUGGAGCGACGCCGCGUGGGGGAAUGAAGGUCUGCGGAUGGUAAACCCCUGUCAUGUGGGAGCAAAUUAAAAAGAUAGUACCACAAGAGGAAGAGACGGCUAACUCUGUGCCAGCAGCCGCGGUAAUACAGAGGUCUCAAGCGUUGUUCGGAAUCACUGGGGGUAAAGCGUGCGUAGGCGGUUUCGUAAGUCGUGUGUGAAAGGCGCGGGCUCAACCCGCGGACGGCACAUGAUACUGCGAGACUAGAGUAAUGGAGGGGGAACCGGAAUUCUCGGUGUAGCAGUGAAAUGCGUAGAUAUCGAGAGGAACACUCGUGGCGAAGGCGGGUUCCUGGACAUUAACUGACGCUGAGGCACGAAGGCCAGGGGAGCGAAAGGGAUUAGAUACCCCAGUAGUC